CAAGAAAACCUGGUUCACAGCAUCACCAAUAACAACAACAGAAUCCAAACUGUCAAGAAGUCAUUUAAAAAGUCUCUCCUGUGAUAACAAAAGCCUCUUCUUACAAACACAUCAACGCGUUCCCUUACCAGCUUUCACCGCCGCCAUCUUGGACGAGAAUUGUAUUAGAACCCCGGAAUCUGAAGUAUUCAUAACACACUAAGCAGAGUGACGAAAGACACGACUUCGUUUUUUCCAGCAGCCCCAUCCAGCUUGACAACCCUGUGCCCCACACCACUCCAUCGAUUUAUGGUGACAGAUGUUUGAUUAGAAGAGGUUUGAAGUCAA